UACGGGGGGGCAAGCGUUGUUCGGAAUUACUGGGCGUAAAGGGCUCGUAGGCGGCCAACUAAGUCGGAUGUGAAAUCCCCAGGCUUAACCUGGGAACUGCAUCCGAUACUGGAUGGCUUGAAUCCGGGAGAGGGAUGCAGAAUUCCAGGUGUAGCGGUGAAAUGCGUAGAUAUCUGGAGGAAUACCGGUGGCGAAGGCAGCUCGUCUGGGACGGUACGUGACGCUGAGACGCGAAAGCGUGGG
rnacentral:rRNA from 1 species